rnacentral:rRNA from 1 species
GGAGUUAGCCGGUGCUUCUUCUGUGAGUGAUGUCCUUCCUGCCGGUUAUUGACCCGCAGGCCUUCUUCCUCACUGAAAGUGCUUUACAACCCGAAGGACUUCUUCACACACGCGGCAUGGCUGGAUCAGGGUUGCCCCCAUUGUCCAAUAUUCCCCACUGCUGCCUCCCGUAGGAGUCUGGGCCGUGUCUCAGUCCCAGUGUGGCUGAUCAUCCUCUCAGACCAGCUACGGAUCGUCGCCUUGGUGAGCCGUUACCUCACCAACCAGCUAAUCCGACAUAGGCUCAUCCGAUAGCGCGAGGCCCGAAGGUCCCCCGCUUUCCCCCGUAGGGCGUAUGCGGUAUUAGCCUGGGUUUCCCCAGGUUAUCCCCCACUACCGGGCAGAUUCCUAUGCAUUACUCACCCGUCCGCCGCUCGCCACCAGGGAGCAAGCUCCCCGUGCUGCCGCUCGACUUGCAUGUGUUAGGCCUGCCGCCAGCGUUCAAUCUGAGCCAUGAUCAAACUCUGA